rnacentral:rRNA from 1 species
UACAGAGGUCCCAAGCGUUGUUCGGAUUCACUGGGCGUAAAGGGUGCGUAGGUGGUGAGGUAAGUCGGAUGUGAAAUCUCCGAGCUCAACUCGGAAAAUGCAUUGGAAACUACCUUGCUAGAGGAUCGGAGGGGGGACUGGAAUACUUGGUGUAGCAGUGAAAUGCGUAGAUAUCAAGUGGAACACCAGUGGCGAAGGCGAGUCCCUGGACAACACCUGACACUGAGGCACGAAAGCUAGGGGAGCAAACAGG